rnacentral:rRNA from 1 species
ACAGAGGUGGCAAGCGUUGUUCGGAAUUACUGGGCGUAAAGGGCGCGUAGGCGGCCUACUAAGUCAGACGUGAAAUCCCCCGGCUUAACCUGGGAACUGCGUCUGAUACUGGAAGGCUUGAGUAUGGGAGAGGGAUGUAGAAUUCCAGGUGUAGCGGUGAAAUGCGUGGAGAUCUGGAGGAAUACCGAUGGCGAAGGCAGCCAUCUGGCCUAACACUGACGCUGAGGUGCGAAAGCAUGGGGAGCAAACAGGA